rnacentral:lncRNA from 1 species
GCUUGUUUGAGGCUGGAGGGCGCCGAGGGAGAAGGGAAACAGCCAGCAGGGAAACGGGGCCCUCAGACCUUCAACAGCCCCCUCGUAAAUGGACAGGGACACCGACUUCCGUCCAGAGCUUCCAGGUGUACAACAAUCAUCACAAACAAAUUUUAAGGCAUUUCCAUCCCAAACCCUCAGUGCAUCGCCCAACCCCCCAUUCUGUCUGACUUGGAAACCGUAAGAUUUUCAGUCUGUGAGUCACUCUCUGUGCUGCAAUGAACUUCUUUGCAGAGGACAUUUGUACUUUAUUAUGUAUUGCUUGACUUCUCCGAGAUGAAGACACAUUCAUUUUGAAUUUUUAAAAAACCCGCUAAAGAUGGUUAAGGAAAUGUACAUCAGCAAACCUGAGGGUAAAUAAAUCUGAGGGGCUGAGCCUCCAUGCCCACCUUGGGGCAUUCAGCUAAGCUGGAGUGCACUUUCAAGGACCAGAGAGAAGGUUUGAUUUGAACUCUUCUUUGGGAUCUUUGGUGGGCGGUGAUUGAGCUUUGCAGGACCUGGAGUACAGGCAGCUCCAGGAUCCGUUCCCCCGCUGAGGGCAGCAAAUGCCAGCCAGCUUCAGGGCAGAGGAGCAGUGGGUGUGGCCUGGAGGCAGGGACAACCCCCUGCUUUUUCUUUCCGUGGAGCUGGCAUGCAGGGAGGCCAGGGGCAGAGCCGGCUCCCCCUGGGGAGCAGAUCUGGGUCUCAGCCAGCUGGGAAGGAAGGGCUUCCUUAUGACCUGACCCAUCUCGCUGGCUGGGAACUCUGCACGGCAGCUCUUCCCUUCUUCCCUUCCUCCCAGAGACCCCAGAAAAGCUUCUGUUUCCCCUUAUGACCCUCUAAUUCUUCACAUUUUGGUUCCGGGUGAACCGGACUGGAAAACUCUGCUCAUUCACCGGGGACCGUCAGUCCUGGGAACCGGGUGGCUGAGAAGGCUCUGCUCGUGGCUUCUCAUGAUCUGGUGGUUUUCGCGCUAAGGGGGCCACCUCCCCAACCAGGCACCAUCAAAACUUCAGGACCACCACUGCCUGAGCUUGAGGAACAGAGCACAUGUCUCUCUUGAUUCCACAACAUCACCUGGACCUGUUGAAAAGCUGGUGUGAGGGGGGAAGUCUUUGGUCCCCUUAAGUCUGCCUCCCUUGAGAGCUUCCACUGUUUUAAUGAUAUUUCUGAGGCAAAGGCCAGAACUCUCAUCAGAUGCUUAUUGAUGUUGUCAUGAGUAAUGGGGUAGGAAUCAUGUGAACUACUCUGAAAUAUUUAAAAAGUCACCCCACAGAAAAAGGCCUUGGACCCCUCUGUGAAUUUCCAGAGCCUUUAUUUCCCUCCCAUUAAUGGCCAUGAGUCCCAGGGGAGGGGGGACACCUGCUAUGGCCCAGUGGGAGUGUCCAGGGGAGCAUCAACAGGUGUGUCUGACUGCAUG